UACGAAGGGGGCUAGCGUUGCUCGGAAUCACUGGGCGUAAAGGGUGCGUAGGCGGGUCUUUAAGUCAGGGGUGAAAUCCUGGAGCUCAACUCCAGAACUGCCUUUGAUACUGAGGAUCUUGAGUUCGGGAGAGGUGAGUGGAACUGCGAGUGUAGAGGUGAAAUUCGUAGAUAUUCGCAAGAACACCAGUGGCGAAGGCGGCUCACUGGCCCGAUACUGACGCUGAGGCACGAAAGCGUGGGGAGCAACAGGGAUUAAGAAACCCGAUGGUACG
rnacentral:rRNA from 1 species